rnacentral:rRNA from 1 species
AUGAACGCUGGCGGCGUGCCUAAUACAUGCAAGUCGAGCGAACAGACGAGGAGCUUGCUCCUCUGACGUUAGCGGCGGACGGGUGAGUAACACGUGGAUAACCUACCUAUAAGACUGGGAUAACUUCGGGAAACCUGAGCUAAUACCGGAUAAUAUAUUGAACCGCAUGGUUCAAUAGUGAAAGACGGUUUUGCUGUCACUUAUAGAUGGAUCCGCGCCGCAUUAGCUAGUUGGUAAGGUAACGGCUUACCAAGGCAACGAUGCGUAGCCGACCUGAGAGGGUGAUCGGCCACACUGGAACUGAGACACGGUCCAGACUCCUACGGGAGGCAGCAGUAGGGAAUCUUCCGCAAUGGGCGAAAGCCUGACGGAGCAACGCCGCGUGAGUGAUGAAGGUCUUCGGAUCGUAAAACUCUGUUAUUAGGGAAGAACAAAUGUGUAAGUAACUAUGCACGUCUUGACGGUACCUAAUCAGAAAGCCACGGCUAACUACGUG